rnacentral:rRNA from 1 species
UACGUAGGGACCGAGCGUUGUCCGGAUUCAUUGGGCGUAAAGAGCUCGUAGGCGGCUGCUCAAGUCGAAUGUGAAAACUCGAGGCUCAACCUCGAGCCUGCAUUCGAUACUGGGCGGCUAGAGUCUGGUAGGGGGAUCUGGAAUUCCUGGUGUAGCGGUGGAAUGCGCAGAUAUCAGGAGGAACACCGGUGGCGAAGGCGGGAUCCUGGGCCGGUACUGACGCUGAGACGCGAAAGCGUGGGGAGCGAACAGG